rnacentral:rRNA from 1 species
ACGUCUCAGUUCAGAUUGCAGGCUGCAACUCGCCUGCAUGAAGUCGGAAUUGCUAGUAAUCGCAGAUCAGCAUGCUGCGGUGAAUACGUUCCCGGGCCUUGUACACACCGCCCAUCACACCAUGGGAGUCGGUAACACCCGAAGUCGGUAGCCUAACCGUAAGGAGGGCGCCGCCGAAGGUGGGAUUGAUGACUGGGGUGAAGUCGUAACAAGGUAGC